CGAAUAUAUCACUUUGAAACACCGGUUCCCGUACGAUCAACGAAGUUAAGCAACGUCAAGGCUGGUCAGUGCCGAGAUGGGUGACCGCUUGGAAUAUCAGAUGCUGUCAG